rnacentral:lncRNA from 1 species
CUUUACUAUAGCUAAUAACACUGGAGAGUUUAUAAACCGCAUUACAGAUGCAGACAUUGGGAUAACUAUAGCGACUACAGUUUUGUCGAUUAUAGGGUCUAUUUGGCUCAUUUUGGUUUACGGUCGUGAAUGGAUUAGAAAUAAAGACUUAAAAGAAACAAGGAAGCUUUUGAUAUACCUUACUAUAUCAGAUUUUUUCAUUGCGAUUGGAAAUUUUUCGGGGGCAGUUAGAUAUAUAAAAUCCACUGACAGCAAUAGUUUUAAAGUCUUGGAGUGUAAUUCGGAACGCGACGUAGGGUGCAUAAUUCAAAGUUUUAUAACUACGUUGGGAUC